GACUAGUCUCGUAAACUCUCGCGGUCUAACGCCAAUUCGCGAAACUUGGCCGGCCGCCGGCCGCGCCGGCCGCGCCUUCGCCCAGCACAAAGGCGCUGGAUAGAUACAGUUGCAAUUUUUGCAGCCGGGCUGCUGCGCUUCUGACCGCGGUUCGGUCGGGCGUUGCGGCCGCCUGCUGGGGGCCACCCGACUGCUGGGGGCGACCCGAGCGAUGAGCACUCGCCAACCGAGGACUGGCGACCUACAACGGGGCCUGUGGCUGCCCUCGGACGUGGGCCGUGGGAGGCGGCGUGGAGGAGCCGAGGAGGUGCGGCUGCCGGCGCUCGGGGGCCGCUGCGGCUCACAGAUGCGAUGCGGCUCCCCCUGGAUGGCGUCCUACUCCUGGGGGCCGCUCGGCUGUUGGCGGCGGCGGGCCUCUACUCGCUGACUGUCAGUAGCGAUGGGCGCCCACCUGCUGAGGACUGACGACCUUCAACGGGGCCUGUGGCUGCCCUCGGACGUGGGCCGUGGGAGGCGGCGUGGAGGAGGUGCGGCUGCCGGCGCUCGGGGGCCGCUGCGGCUGGCAGAUGCGAUGCGGCUCCCCCUGGAUGGCGUCCUACUCUUGGGGGCCGCUCGGCUGUCGGCGGCGGCAUCCUGACCCCGGCUGCUCGACUGCCAGCGGCGGCGGGCCUCUGCCUGCUGGGGAGUGCGGCGGCCUAGGACACACUACCCGUGGCCUGGAUGGUAUGCGACUACCGGCCCCCUGGUGCCGCUACGAGGAACAAUGACGUUGCGCCUCUCAAACUAGGAUUGGCCUGGGCCGGGCGUGACGGCCGGUCGAGUUCGGUGUCCGGUCGGCUGCGCCCGACCGGACCAUUUGACUGUCGACGACGGGCCUACGCCGUCAGGGAUAACAUCGGGACUGGGCUAUUGCGCCUGGACGUUGAACCGCUGGCCGCGGCCAGGAUGGCGUGUGGUUGCGGGCGCUCAUGGGCCACAAUGAUGGAAUUUGUGUUGCGGCUGUCUCUGGUCCUGGACACGGGCCGAUAACGGGUGUGAUAUCUGGUGCGUUCGGCUGUCUGAGGUGGUGGGCCUCGGCCUGUUGGGGGCUGAGAUAGCCUUGUGGCGGGCCGAGCGAUGGCGCCCAGAUGUGGACCACUGACUGCGCUGGAUGUCAUAUUGAUUGAUUGAUUGGCACCGUCAAGCAUUCCCUCACAAACCUUUAACACUAACUGUCCUCACUCUAACAAUACUAACUUGCGAAUCCUUUUCCAGCCAUUCCUGCUUGGCGGUGCCACCGAUCGGUGUAUACCUACACGUGUGUUUGUAUAUGCACUAUCAGUUAUCCGAUGAUUACCUAAUACAAUACCGGUGACUCCGGACAUGCAAAAAAAAAAAAAACUAAA